ACACGUGGUAUCCUGUCUGAAUAUGGGGGGACCAUCCUCCAAGGCUAAAUACUCCUGACUGACCGAUAGUGAACCAGUACCGUGAGGGAAAGGCGAAAAGAACCCCGGCGAGGGGAGUGAAAAAGAACCUGAAACCGUGUACGUACAAGCAGUGGGAGCACGCUUAGGCGUGUGACUGCGUACCUUUUGUAUAAUGGGUCAGCGACUUAUAUUCUGUAGCAAGGUUAACCGAAUAGGGGAGCCGAAGGGAAACCGAGUCUUAACUGGGCGUUAAGUUGCAGGGUAUAGACCCGAAACCCGGUGAUCUAGCCAUGGGCAGGUUGAAGGUUGGGUAACACUAACUGGAGGACCGAACCGACUAAUGUUGAAAAAUUAGCGGAUGACUUGUGGCUGGGGGUGAAAGGCCAAUCAAACCGGGAGAUAGCUGGUUCUCCCCGAAAGCUAUUUAGGUAGCGCCUCGUGAAUUCAUCUCCGGGGGUAGAGCACUGUUUCGGCAAGGGGGUCAUCCCGACUUACCAACCCGAUGCAAACUGCGAAUACCGGAGAAUGUUAUCACGGGAGACACACGGCGGGUGCUAACGUCCGUCGUGAAGAGGGAAACAACCCAGACCGCCAGCUAAGGUCCCAAAGUCAUGGUUAAGUGGGAAACGAUGUGGGAAGGCCCAGACAGCCAGGAUGUUGGCUUAGAAGCAGCCAUCAUUUAAAGAAAGCGUAAUAGCUCACUGGUCGAGUCGGCCUGCGCGGAAGAUGUAACGGGGCUAAACCAUGCACCGAAGCUGCGGCAGCGACACUAUGUGUUGUUGGGUAGGGGAGCGUUCUGUAAGCCUGUGAAGGUGUACUGUGAGGUAUGCUGGAGGUAUCAGAAGUGCGAAUGCUGACAUAAGUAACGAUAAAGCGGGUGAAAAGCCCGCUCGCCGGAAGACCAAGGGUUCCUGUCCAACGUUAAUCGGGGCAGGGUGAGUCGACCCCUAAGGCGAGGCCGAAAGGCGUAGUCGAUGGGAAACAGGUUAAUAUUCCUGUACUUGGUGUUACUGCGAAGGGGGGACGGAGAAGGCUAUGUUGGCCGGGCGACGGUUGUCCCGGUUUAAGCGUGUAGGCUGGUUUUCCAGGCAAAUCCGGAAAAUCAAGGCUGAGGCGUGAUGACGAGGCACUACGGUGCUGAAGCAACAAAUGCCCUGCUUCCAGGAAAAGCCUCUAAGCAUCAGGUAACAUCAAAUCGUACCCCAAACCGACACAGGUGGUCAGGUAGAGAAUACCAAGGCGCUUGAGAGAACUCGGGUGAAGGAACUAGGCAAAAUGGUGCCGUAACUUCGGGAGAAGGCACGCUGAUAUGUAGGUGAAGUCCCUCGCGGAUGGAGCUGAAAUCAGUCGAAGAUACCAGCUGGCUGCAACUGUUUAUUAAAAACACAGCACUGUGCAAACACGAAAGUGGACGUAUACGGUGUGACGCCUGCCCGGUGCCGGAAGGUUAAUUGAUGGGGUUAGCCGCAAGGCGAAGCUCUUGAUCGAAGCCCCGGUAAACGGCGGCCGUAACUAUAACGGUCCUAAGGUAGCGAAAUUCCUUGUCGGGUAAGUUCCGACCUGCACGAAUGGCGUAAUGAUGGCCAGGCUGUCUCCACCCGAGACUCAGUGAAAUUGAACUCGCUGUGAAGAUGCAGUGUACCCGCGGCAAGACGGAAAGACCCCGUGAACCUUUACUAUAGCUUGACACUGAACAUUGAGCCUUGAUGUGUAGGAUAGGUGGGAGGCUU
rnacentral:rRNA from 1 species